GACUCUCCCUGUCUGUUCGCCUCCGUGUCGCCACUCGGCACGUCCACGAAAGUCCUUCUCUCGACCAGAGCCCUCCCCCUUUCGCCGCCUCAUCACACGCAUAAGCAUUUCGAAAACACGACCACCAAAAAAUAUCAGCGAAACGCCACCUCCGCGAAGCGCAGAGCGGCGAACGCGCAAGAGAAUCCUUCCCCCUUCCCCUCCCCUCUUCAUUUUUUCCAUCCCAUCUGUGCGCAGGUCACACAAGCUGGUGUGCAAACCCUCUUGUGUGCAGGCAGCUCAACCGCCACCAACGCCUCCUCCCCCCCCUCCCUUCUCAUCCGCCAUUCCCUUGCCCCCUCCCAGCUGCCCUGUUUCUUCUACCUGGCGCUGUCGUUGGCGAGGUGCUUUUCGUCUGGUUCUGAGUCGCAUUUCGGAAACCUCGCGAGGCUCUCUCUUUUUUCUCUGCAGAGAGGGGAGAGAGGUUUAUAUACCACAUAUCGGUGUCGAAAAAAAGCUUUUUUGGGGGGCUGGAUGCGUUUCGAGACGAUCCUCAACCUCUGCUACUGUUUUGUAGCUUUUUUUUUCGCCCUUUCCUCUGUGUGUGUGUGUGUUCUUCGCCCUCUUUAGCUUUAUUCUCUACUUGUCUUUUGGUCUUAUCAUACAUCCUGUCGCCGACAAUUGCCUUUUCCCAGCGCCCUCCUCUCCCCUUCUCACCUACUCCCAGCCCACCCACCCAUCGAACUCACACCUCUGCCCCGCACAAGUGGUUCAUCUCGGUCAUACUCUCUUUUUCCUUCCUCCCCCACCCCGUCCCUUUCCCUCCUUCAGGGUUCGCUGCUCUUCACAUCCCUCCGCUCAGCAUCCUCCGCACACACGCGCACGCACGCACGCAAGAGUAGAAGUCGCACGUAACGCAUCAACUCCCCCGCUUUGCCAGUCAUGUCCUCCCUCUACGAAUGGGCCAUGGAGUGGAUCAACACUCCAGCCAGCUUCAAGGGCAGUUCUGCGCGCAACUUCCUUGACGCCGCACCCGACUACCCGCUCUACGCCGCCCUGCUGUACCUCAUCAUCGUCUUCUUCCUUCCUGGGCUGAUUGAGCGGCGUGGGUGGAAGUUUGACAUCACGUACCUCGUCGCUGCCUGGAACCUUGCCCUGUCUCUUGUGUCGGUGUUCGGCUCCUAUUACUGUGUGCAGAACCUCUUUCACGCGAUCUGGAUCGAAAAAGGCUUCCACGCGACGUGCUGCGCGCAGCUGUCCGUGCGUCACUCGGAGAACUUCGGGGGCAAACAACUCCGCAACGAUUACUACGCCCCAAGCCCGGAUGGCGCCUUCGACCACAGUAACAUCCACAAGCACAACCCCCGCAUCACGACAUACACGCACCAGCUUCUGGACAAGAACUAUGACGGCCCGCGCGCAUUUUACACGGCGCUCUUCAUGUACCUCAAGACACCCGAGCUGCUCGACACGCUCUUCCUCGUGCUGCAGCGCAAGCCCGUCUCCUUUCUGCACUGGUACCACCACAUCGUCACCGCCAUCUACUGUUGGCAUGCCUCAUACGUGCUCAUCCCGAGCGGCAUCGUCUUCUGCGCCAUGAACUACUUCGUGCACUCCUUCAUGUACUUCUACUACUUCCUCGUCAUGAUGGGGCUGCGCAAGUCGAUUCGCCCCUUCGCGCCGGUGAUCACGCUGCUGCAGGUGCUGCAGAUGUUCAUUGGCAUGUACAUCACCGUGUACACGUACUUCCAGUACUGGCUGGGCCCCGAGUACAGCAACACGCUCUUCUUCAAGCUCUUCGAGGUGGUGCUCAGCAACGCCUACCACGCGUACUGCAACGCGAAGAGCGUCGUGACGACUGGCGCGCUGGCGUCGCAGGUGCCCGCGUUCGACAUGUCUGACCGGUUCUGGGGCUGUGACAGCGACCCAACAUGUAUGCGCAUGGGCAUGCUGAUGUAUGGCAGCUACUGCGUGCUGUUCGCGGUGCUGUUCAAGGAGCUGUACCUGGACAAGCGCGUACACGAGAACAGCCUCGUGCUGGCGCGCAAGGAGCAGCAGGCGAGGGAGGGCAAGUUCAAAGGCGAGAUGAACGGCAAUGGCGUCACCACCCCCGCCGUCGCCGGCGCGAAGCCCACGGCGGCGUAGUGGCACAUGGUCCGUUGCACAGGUGUCAUCUGGAUAGGGAAGCGUGCAGACAGAGGAUGGGGGCUGCUCAGCGGGCGAAGGAGGGAAAGGGCAGGAGGGCGAAGCGAUGCGCACCGCAAACACCUCAGCUGUUGCGCAUUGUGCACAAGCCCCUCCCCCCUCCGCCUCCUGCCAGUCGCUCUGCGGCUCUCUCCCGUUAUUCCUCUGUUUAUGGCUGCAUGAGCCCCCAGGAAGCCCGUCAUCAUCUGCGCUGCACACGCGCGCGGAGCGUCGCCGUCGUCGCUAUCCUCGUGUGUCUGGUGAGUCUCCCUUUGCCAACUCGGCGUCGCUGGCCCAUGUAACGGCGUCUUUAUUGCCCUUCCUCGCAUUAUUCGUUGUGUGUGUGUGUGUGCAGGUGUGGGGCACGAUGGGCCGUGUUUGUCCCUCGCCCCGUUCGUGUCCUUCUCCUCCCUUGUUCGUUGCUCUCCUUCUUGGUUGCUCUGUUUUGUGGUGAUUUUAUUGUGCGCAUGUGUAUAGCUUCGCCACGCGCACCCCUCCUCUCCCCUCGCUUCCCCCACCACUCAUUCUCCCGUCGCGUUUCACGUUUUGUUGCUGUUGUUGCUGCGAUCGAAGUGCACCUGCGCAGCGCGCUCCGGCACGCGUGGUGUCUGCUCGUUUCGGUCUGUGUGUAAAAGGAGCGCAUGGGCGAGGUCUACCUCAGCGUCUGUCCGUCCUAGUGUACGCAUGCGUGUAUGUGCGCGUGUUUGUGGUUGCUGUGGUGAUGAGAGGUGCGCUCUCCCGCCAUCCCUGUCGUCUUUCCGCGUCCGUUGUCCUUCAUCCCUGCGAUCCCUUCUCCCGAUGCACGGGGAGCGGGGUGCCGCCAUCGAGGCAGGGCAUCAUUCCCAGCCAUCACCACCCCUUUUUCCCAUCCCCUUUUCUGCCACGCCGGCCCUCCGUCGUUGCUCUUGCCGCGGUCUCCUCUGUUGUGUGCGUAUGUGUGUGGUCACUGCUGCGAACGCCGUUCAGCGUGUGUAUGCGCAUAGCACCGGGUGCUUGCCCACACCCAGACACGCACGCUUGAAUGCACGCGUGCAUGCCGGAAUCCGUCCUCCCCCCUCCCCUCCCUUCCCCUCCUCCCCCCUCACUCGUCGCUCCUGUUCGCACUGGGGACUCCAGUAGGUGUGCGCGCAUCGGGACGCGUGUUUGUUUGACGGGGUAGUGGAGCAGCGCCCCAGCCACUGAGCCGGAAACAAGGAAAAUACGCCUGAUAGGGUGAACGCGAAGAGAAACAAAAUGAGUCUUGGAAGCAUCUCCGUUCGUGGGGCAUCCACCACGGCAUCUCCGCCUCAUGCCGUUCUUCCCCGGAGCUUCUGUGCGAAGCAAGCGUGCGCUCAUCUGCUUGCUGGGUCGUGGACCCGACAGAGCACACCUUCACGGGGAUGAGAACAGCCUUGGAGCAGAGCCCACGCACUCUCACGUGCACGCCAGUUGUGUGGUCGCACCUCCGUCUCUCUUUUCCACGCCCUAC
rnacentral:misc_RNA from 1 species